rnacentral:rRNA from 1 species
AUUGAACGCUGGCGGCAGGCCUAACACAUGCAAGUCGAACGGUAACAGGAAGCAGCUUGCUGCUUUGCUGACGAGUGGCGGACGGGUGAGUAAUGUCCGGGAAACUGCCUGAUGGAGGGGGAUAACUACUGGAACCCGUCGCUAAAUACCGCAUAACAGUCGCAAGACCAAAGAGGGGGAACCUUAGGGACUCUUGCCCUCGGAUGUGCACACAUCGGGAUCAGCCUAGUACGUGCGGUAACGGCUCACCUAGGCGACGAACCCUAGCUGGUCUGAGAGGAUGAACCAGCCACACUGGAACUGAAGAAACGGACCAAACUCCUACGGGAGGCAACAGUGGGGAAUAUUGCACAAAGGGCGCAAGCCUGAU